UUGGGAAUUUUGCACAAUGGACGAAAGUCUGAUGCAGCGACGCCGCGUGGGGGAUGAAGGUUUUCGGAUUGUAAACCCCUUUUGCGAGGGAAUAAUUUGUGAAUGUACCUCGCGAAUAAGCACCGGCUAACUCCGUGCCAGCAGCCGCGGUAAUACGGAGGGUGCAAACGUUGUCCGGAAUCACUGGGCGUAAAGCGCAUGUAGGUGGUUUAGUAAGUGGAAGAUUAAAGACCGAUGCUUAACAUCGGACCGGUUUUCCAUACUGCUAAGCUUGAGUAUGGCAGGGGUAAGCGGAACUUUAGGUGUAGGAGUGAAAUCCGUAGAUAUCUAAAGGAACACCAAUGGCGAAGGCAGCUUACUGGGCCAUUACUGACACUGAGAUGCGAAAGUGUGGGGAGCAAACGGGAUUAGAUACCCCUGUAGUCC
rnacentral:rRNA from 1 species